AUUGAACACUGGCGGCAGGCCUAACACAUGCAAGUCGAGCGGAUGAAGGGAGCUUGCUCCUGGAUUCAGCGGCGGACGGGUGAGUAAUGCCUAGGAAUCUGCCUGGUAGUGGGGGAUAACGUCCGGAAACGGGCGCUAAUACCGCAUACGUCCUGAUGGAGAAAGUGGGGGAUCUUCGGACCUCACGCUAUCAGAUGAGCCUAGGUCGGAUUAGCUAGUUGGUGGGGUAAAGGCCUACCAAGGCGACGAUCCGUAACUGGUCUGAGAGGAUGAUCAGUCACACCGGAACUGAGACACGGUCCAGACUCCUACGGGAGGCAGCAGUGGGGAAUAUUGGACAAUGGGCGAAAGCCUGAUCCAGCCAUGCCGCGUGUGUGAAGAAGGUCUUCGGAUUGUAAAGCACUUUAAGUUGGGAGGAAGGGCAGUAAGUUAAUACCUUGCUGUUUUGACGUUACCAACAGAAUAAGCACCGGCUAACUUCGUG
rnacentral:rRNA from 1 species